UAUAAGCCCCCCCGCCCCUGAAACUGACCUGUGGGCCAAAACAAAGAGGUCUGGUCCAUGUUUUCUGCCUCCAGCAGGAGUGGCUGACCCCUGAGGCUGUCCUUUCAACCAUCAGGUUGAUCUAGAAGGUGCUCUCUCAGCCUCAGUCUAGUCUCCAAAGAACAAGUAGCAGCCUUGGGACUGUCUUAUAGAAAACGAAGAACUUCCACUGAGGAGCUGUAGCUACCUGAGGAAUUGAACUUGACUCCUCCCUCUGCAACCGAUUUUAGGCCCAGAUUUUACACCCUCCCCUCUACUCUGUUCCCAUAACCCUGGCUUUAGUUCAAUUCCUCAUCAUUUCCUGCCCGAACUCCUGAAUCACCAGGCUGACUUUUGGUCUCUUCCAUCCCAUGCCGUUCUCCAUAGUGCUUCUGAGAUCUUUAGGGGCCAAGGGCUUUCCUCAUCAUUCCCAGGAGGUUUUUGUUUGCUUGUUCCUGUAUUUUGGCAAUGCAUCUAUUUAUAUUGAUAAGAAGAACUAUCUAACUAGCCAGCACUCUGAAGCUUUACGCCUUCUGCACGAGGGGUGUUGUUACCUGCACUGUGGCAAAAGGCAGUGAGACUCGCAGGCAUGGCAGCCACGCAGAGCUUGCCCAGUGGGAUGUGGGAUGGCACAGCAGGAAGUUCGAGCAACAAAGGCAGACCCCUCUGGGAGCACAUGGAGUAUAUACACCCAGGGGCAUCUAGAAGUCCUUAAGAGCCGCAGGCAAUUGAGGUCCUGCAGAAGGUACCCAUGGAAGAGACAGAGAGCAUGAGCAGGAGGGGCUGAGGGAGAGGGA